rnacentral:ncRNA from 1 species
GACGGAUAAGGUGUUUACACCGCAUCCGGCAACCGUGCGCCGCUACCUGAUGCGACGCUUGUCGCGUCUUAUCAGGCC